rnacentral:rRNA from 1 species
AUGAAGGUUAAAAUUCAGUGCCCAGAAUGCAGGUUGGGACCUGACAGUAUACAACACCUAUUGUUUGAUUGUCCAAGAGCAGUACAGGUUUGGAGACAAUUGGGGCUAUAUGAGAUAGUAAAGAAGAAGUGCACAAAAUACAAGUCUGGAGAGGAAGUGAUGCACGAGUUGUUGCAUAUGGAAGAUACAGAAUUCUAUAUCUUGGGAUUUCCAAAACUGAAAGAGAUGGUAGCCACCGCAGCUUGCAUCGCAUGUUCACCAAAAGCCAAACUUCGGUGGGGCAUUUGGGAAAAGCCACCAAAGGGAUACAUGAAAUUAAAUGUUGAUGCGGGGUUUGAUCAAGAUCUACUUGAAGGAUCCGUGGGGGCAAUCAUUCGUGAUCAAAAGGCUCUGGCUGUCAGGUUUGGGCUGAACCUUGCAAGAACCGUCGGAUGUAGCAGGAUUGUGAGAGAGUAA